GCCUGGGUGGCUCAGCGGGUUGAGCGUCCGACUUCGGCAGUUCGCGGGUUCGAGCCCCACAUUGGGCU
rnacentral:tRNA from 1 species